rnacentral:rRNA from 1 species
AGAGUUUGAUCAUGGCUCAGGAUGAACGCUAGCUACAGGCUUAACACAUGCAAGUCGAGGGGAAACGAUAUUGAAAGCUUGCUUUCGAUAGGCGUCGACCGGCGCACGGGUGAGUAACGCGUAUCCAACCUGCCCAUAACUAAGGGAUAAUCCGUAGAAAUGCGGUCUAAUACCUUAUGUGAUCCGAGGAAGACAUCUGAUUUGGAUUAAAGAUUUAUCGGUUAUGGAUGGGGAUGCGUCUGAUUAGAUUGUUGGCGGGGCAACGGCCCACCAAGUCUGCGAUCAGUAGGGGUUCUGAGAGGAAGGUCCCCCACAUUGGAACUGAGACACGGUCCAAACUCCUACGGGAGGCAGCAGUGGGGAAUAUUGGGCAAUGGGCGAAAGCCUGACCCAGCAACGCCGCGUGAAGGAAGAAGGUCUUCGGAUUGUAAACUUCUUUUAUGAGGGACGAAGGACGUGACGGUACCUCAUGAAUAAGCCACGGCUAACUACGUGCCAGCAGCCGCGGUAAUACGGAAGGUCCAGGCGUUAUCCGGAUUUAUUGGGUUUAAAGGGAGCGCAGGCGGCCCGUUAAGCGUGACGUGAAAUGUAGUUGCUCAACAUCUGCACUGCGUCGCGAACUGGUGGGCUUGAGUUCACGGUAGGAAGGCGGAAUUCGUGGUGUAGCGGUGAAAUGCUUAGAUAUCACGAAGAACCCCGAUUGCGAAGGCAGCGUACCAGGCCGUAACUGACGCUAAUGCUCGAAGGUGCGGGUAUCGAACAGGAUUAGAUACCCUGGUAGUCCGCACGGUAAACGAUGGAUGCCCGCUGUAUGCGAUAGACAGUAUGCGGCCAAGCGAAAGCGUUAAGCAUCCCACCUGGGGAGUACGCCGGCAACGGUGAAACUCAAAGGAAUUGACGGGGGCCCGCACAAGCGGAGGAACAUGUGGUUUAAUUCGAUGAUACGCGAGGAACCUUACCCGGGCUUGAACUGCACAGGAAGGAUACAGAGAUGUUGACGCCCUUCGGGGCCUGUGUGGAGGUGCUGCAUGGUUGUCGUCAGCUCGUGCCGUGAGGUGUCGGCUUAAGUGCCAUAACGAGCGCAACCCUUCUCUUCAGUUGCCAUCAGGUAGAGCUGGGCACUCUGGAGACACUGCCACCGUAAGGUGUGAGGAAGGUGGGGAUGACGUCAAAUCAGCACGGCCCUUACGUCCGGGGCUACACACGUGUUACAAUGGCGCGUACAGAGGGCAGGUGCCGGGCAAUCGGCAUCGAAUCCUUAAAACGCGUCUCAGUUCGGACUGGGGUCUGCAACCCGACCCCACGAAGCUGGAUUCGCUAGUAAUCGCGCAUCAGCCAUGGCGCGGUGAAUACGUUCCCGGGCCUUGUACACACCGCCCGUCAAGCCAUGAAAGCCGGGGGCGCCUGAAGUCCGUGACCGCGAGGGUCGGCCUAGGGUGAAACCGGUGAUUGGGGCUAAGUCGUAACAAGGUAACCGUAA